GUUGAAGCACCGAUUUCCGUGCGAUCCCAGAAGUUAAGCAACAUCGAGCAUGAUCAAUACCUAGAUGGGUGACCACUUGGGAAUACGCUAUGCUGUAA